rnacentral:rRNA from 1 species
UGGGGAAUUUUGCGCAAUGGGCGAAAGCCUGACGCAGCAACGCCGCGUGUGUGAUGAAGGUCUUUGGAUUGUAAAGCACUUUCGACCGGGAAGAAAACCCGUUGGCUAACAUCCAACGGCUUGACGGUACCGGGAGAAGAAGCACCGGCUAACUCUGUGCCAGCAGCCGCGGUAAUACAGAGGGUGCAAGCGUUGUUCGGAAUUAUUGGGCGUAAAGCGCGUGUAGGCGGCGUGACAAGUCGGGUGUGAAAGCCCUCAGCUCAACUGAGGAAGUGCGCCCGAAACUGUCGUGCUUGAGUGCCGGAGAGGGUGGCGGAAUUCCCCAAGUAGAGGUGAAAUUCGUAGAUAUGGGGAGGAACACCGGUGGCGAAGGCGGCCACCUGGACGGCAACUGACGCUGAGACGCGAAAGCGUGGGGAGCAAACAG